UUGAUCAAGCCAUUCUAAACAAGUUUUAUCUGCCUGCCAGAAGUUUCCAGUUGGAUUCUGACCGCGGUUGCUUGCCAAAAGUGGGCCGAUUGGUAUAAUCUCUGGAGUCAUUCUGAAUGCCGCUGGCUCGAGGUCAUAAUCGGAGUUGCAGAUCAGCCAGUCAGCAACUUUCACAGAGGAGUUGUUUCUAACUAUAAGUUCAAAAAUAAUUUUCUGUGAAGUUAAGUCGCCGAUGCAGGCCCAAAUAAAGUUUUUUGAGCUCAUGGCAGGCAUGUCCUGUGCCAACUGAAUCAUCUGGUUUUCCAUUGGAGUUCCUAUAAAAACACAAAAUAAAACGAAACAAAAAGAAGAAUGCAGGAGGAAGAUGUCAUUAUGGUUUUCUAUCAUUGAACUCCCUGCAUUACCAGCAUGGUCCUCGGAAGCCAAAGAUAAUAAAAAAUCUUGCAUAGGCAAAACAAUAUCUGAUUUCAUUAGAGAAAACUGGACAAAGAUAAUCACUAUGUUCGGCAUUUACUUAGAUUUUGUUUUUCUGUGUGCACACGUGUGUUAUACUUCUGCUAAUCCAGUUUGUAUGUUGCUUCUAACUUUGUCCUGAUUUUAAACCACAAUGGUUUCCCAGAACAAUGCAGUGUUUUAUUUAGUAAGAUGGCCUAAAGUAGAAACAUCUUCAUGUUAUGUAUGUAUUCUGAUUGGUUCUGGCUCUUCCAAAAUAAUUCUUGACUACAGCAUAUACUGCUUGAAUCAUCUGAAAGCAUGCAUUUUAGUUUUUAUAUUCUUAAGUUUGCUAUCAUGCUUCAGCAGAUUCUUACAAAUGACACCCUUUUUCUACUUAUGUAAGCAGUUUAUUAAUUUCAUAAUCAUGAAUUUUACAAUACUUUCGGACGGGUGGGUAUUAUCAUUAAGUAAAACUGUUAAAUUUGUUAAGCAGUGAUGGCGCUCAAUGGUCAAAAGUUAGGGGCAGGAUAUCUCACCAUCAUUGUUGAUGAUUCCACUAUCAAUUAGCUUUGGGAUUCUAAGUAUCAAGGCAAGUACUGCACUCGAGGCAGGCCAGAAGGCAGCCCGCUGUAUUUUCAUCUUCUCUGCCACAUCCAGAGCCCACCCCAUGCUAAAAUCAGCAAUGACACAAGUGAUAUUAUCACCUUUCAAUCUGUUGAUGUCUUCUAUGAGUUCCUUCAGCUUCCCAGGCAUGACCCGGAGAAUGGCUUCAGAUAGCUUACCCAGCUCAUUUCUAUCCUCCGACAGAUCCAUCCCAUCUGGAAUUGAAACUAGAUGAAUUUGAUUUUCCAAGUGCUUCUUUUCUGCCAAAGCACUCACAACCCUCUUGUGAUUAUACUCUGUGUUCACAAACGUGACUUUGAACCCAUGUUUGGCUAAGCGUAGUGAGAACUCCAUUAGUGGGAUUACAUGGCCUUGUGCUGGAUAAGGUAUUGGAUCUUCUGGUGCACAAAAUUUGUUAUGUAUCUCUCUGGAAGAAAACUGCACACAACUAGUUGAUUGAAAGGCAGUGACACUCAAUGUUCAUAUGCUUGUAAAAGGAAGGCACCUGGGUGUUGAAAGAGAAGGCAGUGGUACUCUGAAGGGCAAAGGAUGAUUUGGCAGAGAAGAAAUAUCAAAUAGUACUCAAUGAUGACUUCAUUUUUAACAUAUUGGAGGGCUAU